rnacentral:misc_RNA from 1 species
AUGAAAUUCCUAUUAUUAUAUAUCAUAUACGCGCUACUCUACGCUAGCGCCAACGCAGCUGAGGAGCGCCCGAAAUUUAAUGUCGGCAUAAUUUUCGCCAACAAAAAUGAUGAAACCGAAAUCGCUUUCCGCACCGCCAUCGAACGCGCCAAUGUCUUUGAGCGCAGCUUCGAGUUGGAGCCCAUUGUGGAGUAUGCCGAUACCGAUGAUAGCUUCAUGGUGGAGAAAACCGUCUGCAAAUUGAUUGCGCAAGGCGUUAUUGCUAUUUUCGGGCCAAACACAGCAGGCGGCACAGAUGUAGUGUCAUCAAUCUGCAAUACACUCGAUAUACCGCAUAUUGUUUUCGACUGGACCCCCAGUGAAGCACUAUCCGAUCGCCAACACUCAUCGAUGACACUCAAUGUACAUCCGAACAAUAUAUUACUAUCACGUGGCUUAGCUGAAAUAUUACAGAGCUUUAGUUGGCGCAGCUAUACGAUCGUUUACGAGACUGAAAGAGAGCUACAGCAACUACAGGACGUGCUGCAGGUGGGCGAACCCAGCAACAAUCCAACAACUGUACGUCAGCUAACCGAAGGUCCCGACUUUCGUCCAUUUCUGAAGAAUAUCAAAUUGUCCACAGAUAGCUGUAUUGUACUGCACUGCUCAACAGAUAAUGUUAUGAAGAUUUUAAAGCAAGCGAACGAACUGAGAAUGUUAGGGGAAUAUCAGAGCGUAUUUAUNACCGUGCUAGACACACACACAUUGGAUUUUCAGGAAUUGCUUUCAGUGAAUGCUAAUAUUACGACCAUACGCUUGAUGGACCCCACCGAUUAUCAAGUUAAGAACGUGGCACAUGAUUGGGAGGAACAUGAAAAGCGCGAAGGUCGUUAUUAUCGCGCCGAUCCGUCACAAGUCAAGACAAAUAUGAUUCUGGCUAAUGAUGCCGUUUCGAUGUUUGUGAAAGGUCUCGCCGAGCUUGGUAUUGUCGAAGAACUUAAUCCACCGAAGUUGGAAUGCCGCAAAAAUCGUGCUUGGACGCAUGGCCGACGUAUUAUUGAGUUCUUAAAAGCGCGCUCAGUAGAAGCCGCAACAGGUCGUGUAGAUUUCAACGAACAUGGCGAGCGUAACUUUUUCACGUUACGCUUCAUGGAGUUAACUACCACCGGUUUUCUUGACUUGGCCACUUGGGAUCCAGUGAACGGUGUUGAUUCACUCGAAAAAGAGGAUGCCAGUGAAAAGCGUGUGGGUGAGAAACUUGCUAAUAAAACAAUGAUAAUCACUUCGCGUAUUGGUGCGCCAUUCUUAUUAAAUAGAGAACCAAAAGACGGUGAAAUACUACAAGGCAAUGCACGUUAUGAAGGCUAUUCAAUGGACUUAAUAGAUGCCAUAGCNAGAUUGUUGAACUUCAAAUAUGAAUUCGUAUUGGCGCCCGAUGGAAAAUAUGGCAGCUUUAACAAAUUAACGCAAUCAUGGGAUGGUCUAGUUAAGCAGCUGCUAGAUGGAAACGCCGAUCUUGGUAUUUGCGAUCUCACUAUGACUUCCGCACGUCGCCAAGCUGUUGACUUCACGCCACCCUUCAUGACAUUGGGCAUCAGCAUACUCUAUGCGAAGCCCGAACAGCCACCACCGGAUCUUUUCUCUUUCCUUUCGCCAUUUUCUUUAGAUGUAUGGCUAUAUAUGGCUACUGCAUAUUUGGGUGUUUCGCUACUGAUUUUCGGUCUUUCGCGUAUGGCACCAGCGGACUGGGAAAACCCACAUCCCUGUAAGGAACCCGAAGAAGUAGAGAAUCCUUGGUGCAUGUCCAAUACGACUUGGUUAGCAGUCGGUUCCAUUAUGGGACAAGGUUGCGAUAUAUUACCUAAAGCUGCUUCGACGCGUCUCGUUACCGGCAUGUGGUGGUUCUUUGCCUUGAUGAUGUUGAACUCUUAUACGGCCAACUUAGCCGCCUUUCUGACAAUGUCUAGGAUGGAAAGUUCAAUUGAGAGUGCUGAAGAUUUGGCGGCCCAAAGUAAAAUCAAAUAUGGCGCUUUACUAGGCGGCAGCACAAUGGGUUUCUUUCGCGACUCAAAUUUCUCCACAUAUCAACGCAUGUGGACCGCCAUGGAAACGGCGCGUCCAUCGGUAUUCACCAAAAACAAUGAUGAGGGCGUAGAUCGCGUACUUAAGGGCAAAGGACUUUACGCUUUUCUCAUGGAGUCCACCACAUUGGAGUAUAUAAUCGAACGUAAUUGCGAUCUGAUGCAAGUCGGCGGCUGGUUAGAUUACAAAACGUAUGGCAUUGCAAUGCCGUUUAACUCUCCCUACCGCAANCAGAUCAGCGGUGCCGUUUUGAAGCUUGGCGAAUCUGGUAUGCUCUCGGAGUUGAAGCGUAAGUGGUGGAAAGAGAUGCAUGGUGGUGGUUCCUGCUCGCAAGCGGAGAGUAGCGGCGGUGAUACUCCUGAAUUAGAUUUGGAAAAUGUUGGCGGUGUGUUUCUUGUUUUAGGCAUUGGAUUGCUCACCGCUAUUCUAAUUGGUAUGUGCGAGUUUUUGUGGAAUAUUAAAGCGGUGGCUAUAGAAGAGAAGAUUUCUCUCUCAGAAGCCUUCAAAGCUGAACUCAUGUUUGCGCUACGCUUUUGGAUACAAACAAAGCCGGUACACACAGCUUCUAGCAGUGGUGGUUCUUCAUCAUCCUCCUCUUCAUCUUCAAAGUUGUCCAAAUCUAGUAAGUCUUCGUCUUNCUCAUCAUCCAGCUCAACGAAACGUUCGAAACGAUCAUCGAAAUCUUAUGCACGCUCAAUUUCGCAAAGCACCAAAAGCAUCAUAAAUGGCACACACGAUCUGGAGAAGAAUGAUUUGUCGGUACAUGAUAAACUGCGUAAGAUUAGCUCUAUGUUUUCACUAAAAUCUGCACCAUCCGUACCAUCUGUCGCCAAUGUUCACUUGGAGCCACCGCCAGCAUUAAAACAUAACUCUCAGCCUAAUCAUCACCAUGCAGUUGAUAAGCAUACACAAAUGGUUCGGGAAGUGGCUCAACAGACAACACUAACCUCAGAUGAUCGAAGUGAUUGUGACGAGGUUGAAGCACAACAGCCGGAAAUCGAUGAAAUACCAAUUACGCAAACGCACCAACAUCACAAUCAUCAUCAUCAUCAUCACCACCACCACCAUCACAAACAUCACGAUCAUAAUCAUCACCAGCAACUGGAUGAUCAACAACCGGCCAUGCAGCUGGUCGAACGCACUCCAAAUGGCAAAGUGGCACGAAAUGGUCAUGUCAGUGUUGGCAGUGCAGAGGUUUGAAGCUAAAUUUCAAUUCCCUUUCAAUUUGAUAUUUAUAUGCUACAUAUAAGCAGCAGUAGAUCUACUAAUAGUUCAAUCCAAUUAUAUUGUCUAAAACAAGUGUAAAUAUUAUACAUGUACUCUGUAUUAUCCCGGUAAACAAAUACAUAUAUUGCUUUUUCAAAGAUGAACCUUCA